UAAAAAGAUGCCGAUUUCUCUGCAACCGAACGAUGGCGCCACCUGUUACCGCUCGGCGUGUCUUGCUGUAGCGGUGACAGAUCGUGCCACUGUUCCGUUGCAUUGACAUCGCGCGCUGCCUGUGCAUUACUAUGGGGUAGGCCUUCAUUGUUCGAUAUAGAGAACCAAUUUCAAGAAGAAAGCGGAUAUGGCGCCCGAACUUUGUUGCCAAGGUGAGAUAAUGCGUAGCAAAAGUGUGCAACCUCAUGCACUUCCCUUGAAGGGGCCAACGGGUUAGGAACGGCUGCUCGUUCGGCCUGAACCGGGCAGGCCUAGACAGGCCAGGAGCCGCCAUAUCAGGGUAUGACGUAAUAUUGGUUGCAUCCGCGCAACGGAAGUCGGCGGU
rnacentral:lncRNA from 1 species